rnacentral:lncRNA from 1 species
GUGGAUUCCUGGUAGAGGGGACAGCAGAACCUUCCAUGUCCCCCCACCGCUGUGUGGACCAUGAUUGAACACUUCCCACGCCAGGUCCCAUUUGACCCUGAAACAGUCACACAAGGUGAGGAAAACGAGGCUCGGGGAGGGGAGCGACUCCCAGAGGCACGAGUGGAUGGAAGGCGCCGGGGGCCGGUCACGCUGUGCGGCUGCAGUGUUGUGAGUGUCCCAGUGCCGGCAGAGGCGGCAGUCAGCCAUGCCAGGCGGGGAGUGGGCCACGGGAUCAGGCGAAGUCAUGAAGAGUGGACGAGUGAAGAAACUGAGGAUCCACCCUUCCUAGCACAAGGGCUCUCAAGUCCCCAGCCCAUCUCCUCUGCUGGGCGGCCCCCGCUGGUCCUUCAGGGCUCCGCAAGCAGCUCAGAGGUCACUCCCUCCUCACCAGGCAGCCGAUCUGCUUGCCCGGCCUCCCAGAAUCCGAGGUGCCUCCCUCUCGUCUCGUCACCUGGCUGUGGUCCUGGCGUACGCCUCCUGCACCUGUCUGUGUCAGCACCCGCCGGGAUGGGGCCCAGUGUGGAGGGGGAGCAAUGGAUGAGGUACCACCUGGGACUCCUUCCC